rnacentral:rRNA from 1 species
AAGUGGGGGGGGGCCUUACACAUGCAAGUCGAGGCGGUAACAGGAAGCAGCUUGCUGCUUUGCUGACGAGCGGCGGACGGGUGAGUAAUGUCUGGGGAUCUGCCCGAUGGAGGGGGAUAACCACUGGAAACGGUGGCUAAUACCGCAUAACCUCUGAGGAGCAAAGUGGGGGACCUUCGGGCCUCACGCCAUCGGAUGAACCCAGAUGGGAUUAGCUAGUAGGUGGGGUAACGGCUCACCUAGGCGACGAUCCCUAGCUGGUCUGAGAGGAUGACCAGCCACACUGGGACUGAGACACGGCCCAGACUCCUACGGGAGGCAGCAGUGGGGAAUAUUGCACAAUGGGCGCAAGCCUGAUGCAGCCAUGCCGCGUGUAUGAAGAAGGCCUUCGGGUUGUAAAGUACUUUCAGCGGGGAGGAAAGCGUGAACUCGAAUUCACUUCACGAUUGACCUACCCCGCAGAAGAACCUCCGGCAAAGUCCGUGCCGGCACCCGCGGUUCUAUGGAGGGUUCUAGCGAUAUUAGGAAUUACUGGGCUUCAACCCCAUGCAGGCGAUU